rnacentral:misc_RNA from 1 species
GAUGAAGAACGUAGUGAAAUGCGAUAAGUAAUGUGAAUUGCAGAAUUCAGUGAAUCAUCGAAUCUUUGAACGCACCUUGCGCCCUUUGGCCAUUCCGAAGGGCAUGCCUGUUUGAGUAUCAUGAACACCUCAACUCUUCAUGGUUUUCCAUGAUGAGCUUGGACUUUGGGGGUCUUGCUGGCCUACGGUCGGCUCCUCUAAAAUAAAUCAGCUUGCCAGUGUUUGGUGGGUAUCGCAGGUGUGAUAACUAUCUACGCUUGUGGUUUUCCACCAAGUAACCUUCAGCAGUGGAGGUUCACUGGAGCUCACAGAUGUGUCUCUCCUCAGUGAGGGAUAGCUCUUUGAAUGUUUGAUCUCAAAUCAGGUAGGACUACCCGCUGAACUUAAGCAUAUCAAUAAGCGGAGGA